rnacentral:lncRNA from 1 species
CGCGGUGGCUCAUGCCUGUGAUCCCAGCACUUUGGGAGUGGAUCACAAGGCCAGGAGAUCGAGACCAUCCUGGCUAACACAGUGAAACCCCAUCUCUACUAAAAAAAAAUACAAAAAAUUAGCCGCUCGUGGUGGCAUGCCACUCUGUAGACCCAGCUACUCGGGAGGCUGAAGCAGGAGAAUAGUUUGAACCCAAGAGGCGGAGGCUACGGUGAGCCAAGAUCGCCCCACUGCACUCCAGCCUCGGCGACAGAGUGAGACACCAACUCAAUAAAUAAAAAAUAAAAUAAACAAGACUUCCAGACCACGGGUGGAGAAGAUCCAGCCAGGGAGCUGGGCACAACUCCCCGUUUCACUGUGCGGUUUCAUUUCAGUUGGAAAGAACUUCAUCUGUUGAAGUGCACAGACAGCAUUCAGAGGCUAGAGACGCCGGCAUCGGCACAGCACACAGUGCCCUCUGUUCCCCUGGCCCAGGCCAAGAGCUCUUUGUGUGUCUGAGUGACUGGUCAGCACUGGGCAACAAACCCACGCCGGGAGACGGACAGCGAGCCGCCUCAACCCACCAGCCUCUGGGGAGCCUCUCAUCUCGCAAGCACCUGCGGAGGCCCGCCCGGCGCCAGACCAGUCCAGGCACCCAGAGGCCUCUGCUCUCCUGGAGCUCAUGACAAGUAAACAAAUACACAAGAUGGUUUGGGAUCCCGAUGAAUAAGUUAAGCAGGGCAACCCAACAGGGAGGACAGGGCUCCCGCAUGUGACGGACCCAGGAGGGAGCGACCCCCCGUGUUGACAUGGGGGGAAAGGCGGGAAGUCAGAGAGGCCGGGAGGUCAGAGAGGCCAGGAGGUCAGAGAGGCCAGGCCCCUUCACACGGGGUGGGCGGGGGGGGGGGGGAUUUGCUCCCUCUGGAGGCCAAAGAGGAGGGUCCUUUCCACCUCUUCCAGCUUCUGGGGGCGGCUGGCUUCCUGGGCUUGUGGCGUGUCUGUCACUCCAGUCUCUGCCUCUGCCUUCACGUGGCCUCAGUGCAUGUCCUCACAUGGCCUUCUUAUAAAGAUACCUGUCAUCGCAUUUAGGACCCACCCUAAUCCAGCACGACCUCAUCUUAACUAAUGGCACAUGCAAAGACCCUGAUUCCAAAUCCGGUUAUGUUCUGGGGAUCCGGUGAACACAAAUUUCGGUGCUUUGCUCAGUUUCUAUGGAGUCUUGUGUAUAGGAAGGGACAGGAGAAGAACCAAAUUCUCAUCUGAGGCAGAUUUUUAUUCCUCAUUGCAAAAUUUAAAC